rnacentral:rRNA from 1 species
UAGGGAAUCUUCCGCAAUGGGCGAAAGCUUGACGGAGCAACGCCGCGUGAGUGAUGAAGGUCUUCGGAUCGUAAAACUCUGUUAUUAGGGAAGAACAAAUGUGUAAGUAACUAUGCACGUCUUGACGGUACCUAAUCAGGAAGCCACGGCUAACUACGUGCCAGCAGCCGCGGUAAUACGUAGGUGGCAAGCGUUAUCCGGAAUUAUUGGGCGUAAAGCGCGCGUAGGCGGUUUUUUAAGUCUGAUGUGAAAGCCCACGGCUCAACCGUGGAGGGUCAUUGGAAACUGGAAAACUUGAGUGCAGAAGAGGAAAGUGGAAUUCCAUGUGUAGCGGUGAAAUGCGCAGAGAUAUGGAGGAACACCAGUGGCGAAGGCGACUUUCUGGUCUGUAACUGACGCUGAUGUGCGAAAGCGUGGGGAUCAAACAGG